rnacentral:RNase_P_RNA from 2 species
GCCGCUCCCCAACCGCUGCGUUCUCUGCUACCUACGACGAUGGAUCCUGCGCUCAGCCGCAGUCGAGACUGUCUUGUUCACCUGCAGAUGAGAAAUUCGGAGUAAUCUUCAAACAUUGAUCUGCGUCCUUCGACCGUGGCUAGCCCGCGAAGAAGAGACCACAGAACUGCCUGCGAGGGCCCGGCAUGAUUUGUACCGUGCUCGCAAUCAGGCAUCAGAAAUUUACAGGGCUUCAAGGACACGCCGGCCCCGGCUGGUAAUGCUCUUUGGAGGAUUCCCUAUGGAAGAGCCGUUGCGAAGAUUGUUUGACACCUUAGUUGGUAAGGUGGACCUACUUUAGUGCAAUCGCAGCGGGAGCUAUGCAAUCUUUUCCUCUUUACAGAGGAUCAGGGCGCGGAACUUCAAUUCGAUUCCGAUUACUCUGGGGGGCGGC